rnacentral:rRNA from 1 species
CCUACGGGAGGCAGCAGCAAGGAAUUUUGUGCAAUGGGCGAAAGCCUGAUCCAGCGACGCCGCGUGCGGGAUGACAGCCUUCGGGUUGUAAACCGCUUUUAUGGAGGAAGAAUCCGCCUCAUCGGCGGAUGACGGUACUCCAUGAAUAAGGGGUGCUAAUUCUGUG